AAGGCAUGCCUUUCUAGAACCUUGCGUCUAAAACAAAGGUGCACACCUAGUCGCAUAAGGCGCUAGAGUUUGAGCUUGGUGAGCCUUAAGCCAGAGGCGCGCCUUUAAUAACUAUGUUUUCAUCAAAACUCCACUUUUCACCAAGAACGUAGAGGUUUAUCUUCAACCUACCCAUUCCUCGACCACUAGCUUUCCUUAACCUCCACAUCUCACAAAGCCAUUCGACACUAAUCUCUUAUAUCUGCUCACUCCACCAUCACCGAUUAGCUCACUUAUUUCUCCCUUACUGCAUUAGAGCAUAUAUCUCUUUCAACUAUCUUUCAUCACCUCGACAAGCUAUCACUUCUAUGAUGCUCACCUCUGCCCAACCCAACUCUGCCUUAUGAAGACUUGGCCUCAUUCCCCAUCAAAAUACCCUUUCAACAAUUCAACUAGACCCACCUUAGCAACCUUAAAACAAGUGCUAUUAAUUCAUUAGUUACGAUUUAUUUUAUUGUAAAUUGGGUUUAA
rnacentral:misc_RNA from 1 species